AGAUUGGACAAAGCACUGGGGUAGAAAUACAGGAGCUAAUUGUGCUCUCUCGUUUCAGAAUGUGCACAGCCGUGCUCUGGGACGCGCCUCAGGGGACGUAACAGACGGUCUUCAUCAGCGUCAACUUUCAGCUAUGGAAUCGUGGGAACCAGAGUUCUGAACAUUGCAUCCUAAUGGCUGACGAGAUGCUGCCUUGGAGACAAGUGAGCCCACCAGCAUGUCACGUGGUGCUCAGGUGACCCAUCUGGUUCCACGCAGACGGUCGAUGACGAAGCGAUGGCCGUAUAAAUGAAGAUCAGGUGAGGGAAGAAGAACGAUGCCCAAGGGUGGGUGUUCUAGAACACCACAGCACGAAGACUUUUCCCUCAGCAACGACAUGGUGGAGAAACAGACGGGGAAAAAGGUAACGCCUGGGCUGCCCUCGCCCUCGCUGGCUCACCGUUCCUGGCCUCUGUGUGUGUCCCUGUCCUUGUCGAUGUCCUCUGCAGCCACAGUGACCCAGGGAGGGUCUUCUUAAGGAACCAGAGGGAAGCUUUCAUGAGGUUUGUGCGUGUUGCUGUGGCCCCACAUUCUCUGGUCUGGGAGCCAUAGAUGUCUGUCGCGGCUUCAGUGAGAUCAGACCUGAUGCUGAACCGUAUCUGCCUCGUCCUGACCAGAAACACCGCUGGGGUGUGCUUGUACUUGUGCUGUGGCCGGUGGUCCGCGUGACUCUGUGAAAAGGCACUGUAACCCCCAGUCACUGUGUCCGUGAUGUGCGGUCACCUCUGGGCUCCAGGGUGCACACCCCGCCCCGUAGCCUGGGGGCGCUGCUGAGUGUGGACUUGGAAUCAGACAGAAGCAGCAGGUGCAGGCUCUGCCCUGUGUUGUCUGUGACCGUGAGUGUGUCUGCAGUAAGAGCAAGAGCGACUCGUGCUGGCUUGUCCGUGGGGCGGCACUGCUCUUCACCCUAGAGCUGUCCCUGUCCCCCUGACGCCCUCGUGGGAGGCCGUCGACGCUGUGACGUGUGUGAACGGAAGCUCGGUGUCAGAGCACCUGCUGUCUCCGCUGACACCCUGGUUGGGUGGGGUACGAGGAGAUGAGUGAGCAGAGCCGUGCCCUUCAUCUGGCUGAGGUGAGACGGGGGGCGGGUUGUGAACGUAGGCGUGCCUAGGUGCUCAUCACAAUGACCGGGCUGCAGAGGCUCUGGUGGGUGGGCGUCUGUGGCCACACGUUCUGUCCCACUUGCCUGUCUCCCAGCACCCUGUAUCAUGUGCAGGAACAGGUAGGAGCCACCACAUGGAGCUGUGGGCAGGCUGAGGCUGGAGCUUGGUCUGAACUUGCAUGGGAGUGGCGUGGAGGGUCUGGUUGCAGCCUGGGAUGGGCGUGUGCUGGUGUGCCCACGAGGAGCUGGAGCCACUGGAGACAGAUGUGCCCUGGCUGAGCGUGGGAACUCUCCCUCUGGGACACUUCCACACCCAACGGCCAGACCACCGUUGGUAGUCAGGGUUCCCAGGCCUGUGUGUGGGUUUUCCUGCGACAGGAUUCCGUGGUCA